GCGGCAAGACGGAAAGACCCCGUGAACCUUUACUAUAGCUUGACACUGAACAUUGAGCCUUGAUGUGUAGGAUAGGUGGGAGGCUUUGAAGUGUGGACGCCAGUCUGCAUGGAGCCGACCUUGAAAUACCACCCUUUAAUGUUUGAUGUUCUAACGUUGACCCGUAAUCCGGGUUGCGGACAGUGUCUGGUGGGUAGUUUGACUGGGGCGGUCUCCUCCUAAAGAGUAACGGAGGAGCACGAAGGUUGGCUAAUCCUGGUCGGACAUCAGGAGGUUAGUGCAAUGGCAUAAGCCAGCUUGACUGCGAGCGUGACGGCGCGAGCAGGUGCGAAAGCAGGUCAUAGUGAUCCGGUGGUUCUGAAUGGAAGGGCCAUCGCUCAACGGAUAAAAGGUACUCCGGGGAUAACAGGCUGAUACCGCCCAAGAGUUCAUAUCGACGGCGGUGUUUGGCACCUCGAUGUCGGCUCAUCACAUCCUGGGGCUGAAGUAGGUCCCAAGGGUAUGGCUGUUCGCCAUUUAAAGUGGUACGCGAGCUGGGUUUAGAACGUCGUGAGACAGUUCGGUCCCUAUCUGCCGUGGGCGCUGGAGAACUGAGGGGGGCUGCUCCUAGUACGAGAGGACCGGAGUGGACGCAUCACUGGUGUUCGGGUUGUCAUGCCAAUGGCACUGCCCGGUAGCUAAAUGCGGAAGAGAUAAGUGCUGAAAGCAUCUAAGCACGAAACUUGCCCCGAGAUGAGUUCUCCCUGACUCCUUGAGAGUCCUGAAGGAACGUUGAAG
rnacentral:rRNA from 1 species